AUGGGCCCCAAGAGAUUUAGGAGCCAAGCACCAAAGUUCACAGGACCCCAGGACAUUUGCUCCUCCCUCUCAGUUCUGAUCUUCAUUUCUUACCAGCCAGAAAGGAGAGUGGGGAUAAGUGAGGGCCCGCUGCAGGAGCCUGACUAUGCCCGAAAGGAAGGUGCCAGGCUGCCCCAAACGCCCUUACACCCACCUGGUCAUUUUACACGUAAGAAGACUGAGGCCAGCCAGGAGAAAUGGUUUGUUCCCCUGGCAUCGUGUGGCCGUGGAAUUCCUAGGCCAAUGCUCAGGCAAUUAGGGGACACGUGUCACCAUGAUUUGGGUGUGGGUGGGGACAGGCUACUUGAACCAGGGGAUGAGGACCACCUGGCGGCAGGCUCAGCUCUGGCCUCGGGAGAGGGGCCUGGGCUGGGCCACACCCCACACGUCCCUCUCCCCUCGAGAGCCGUGAGCGUGGGGCAUGUCUCCGAGUCUCACAAGAAGCAGAGAGGCUCUCCGAGCUGCAGCCUCUAUGGGGCUGGGAAUGUUCGGGAUUGUCAGAAGCCUGGGAGUCUUUCCCAGCGGCCCGUAUCUAUGACAACUGGACCCUGGGUAGAACCGGUCCAGGCAGCCAAGGCCAGUCGGGCACGCAGGGUUAACUCUGUAGGAAGCGGUCUCCGCCGUGGUGUUGGGGCUGCUCCCAUUUCAUUGACAGUAGCUCUGAGACCUGCCUGGUUCCACGUUACUGGAUCAGGAGGGAACGUGGCUAUUGCACGGGGCUUCGUGCGAAGUGAGCUCGGCGGACCUCAGAGCUGCCCGCCAGGAGUCCCAGCAGCCCGCGACCAACAUUCCGGCCCUUCCAUCGUCCUUUCCCCUUUUCCUGAAAGGCCCUGGGCCUCGCGAGGACCCAGCGGCCAAAGCAAGGGGAGGGGAGCGGAUACGUGGAGCAAGGACAGCCCGGGGCCGUGCGCGGUCUCUGCAUCUUUGCGCGCUGGGUGGCAGACGCCUCAGGACAGCGGGAACUGGCCAAGCGGCCCCAGACGCCUCCACCGCCUCCACCGGGAUGCUCCGCUUCCCGCUGCUGCUGGAUCUCCCCACCCCGAGGGAGGCGCCCGAGGCCGCUCAGUCCCCAGGCCUGAGGUCCUAGCGGGGCUGCUGAGGCGGGAGCGCUGA
rnacentral:lncRNA from 1 species